rnacentral:rRNA from 1 species
UUGGGCGUAAGAGCUCGUAGGCGGUUUGUCGCGUCUGCUGUGAAAUCCCGAGGCUCAACCUCGGGCCUGCAGUGGGUACGGGCAGACUAGAGUGCGGUAGGGGAGAUUGGAACUCCUGGUGUAGCGGUGGAAUGCGCAGAUAUCAGGAAGAACACCGAUGGCGAAGGCAGAUCUCUGGGCCGUAACUGACGCUGAGGAGCGAAAGCAUGGGGAGCGAACAGGAUUAGAUACCCUGGUAGUCCAUGCCGUAAACGUUGGGAACUAGAUGUGGGGGCCAUUCCACGGUCUCCGUGUCGCAGCUAACGCAUUAAGUUCCCCGCCUGGGGAGUACGGCCGCAAGGCUAAAACUCAAAGGAAUUGACGGGGGCCCGCACAAGCGGCGGAGCAUGCGGAUUAAUUCGAUGCAACGCGAAGAACCUUACCAAGGCUUGACAUACACCGGAAAGCUGCAGAAAUGCAGCCCCCGCAAGGUCGGUGUACAGGUGGUGCAUGGUUGUCGUCAGCUCGUGUCGUGAGAUGUUGGGUUAAGUCCCGCAACGAGCGCAACCCUCGUUCUAUGUUGCCAGCACGUGAUGGUGGGAACUCAUAGGAGACUGCCGGGGUCAACUCGGAGGAAGGUGGGGAUGACGU